rnacentral:lncRNA from 1 species
UGGGUGUGCGUAAGUGUAUAGGAGUGCAUAAUUAAUACUUGUACUAUGUUUUGAAAAAGAAUGAUUUAUUAUGUUUUUUCUCUCUAUGUUAAUUAAAUUUGAUAUUGUUUGCUUGUGCAUUGAUAUGUGACUCAGUAAUUGUCUUUGUUACCCAUUCGUAAGGUAUAACUUCAAGUACUCUUUUGCACAGGAAAUAUACUCAUUCGUGGAGUGAAAUGCAAGCGAUAGCUAUGUAGCAUGCAUGCAAAUGCAAUGCGUGUAUGUUAUGCAUGUCGCACGUACGUAGGCUAAUUUGCAUAUCACACUCACAUCACAGAGAGGCCUACGUAAGUACUCCCACCGUUUCAGGUUAUAAUAUAAGAUAUUUUUGACUUUGGUCAAAGAAGUCAAACUGCUUCAAAUUUAACCAAGUUUAUAGAAAAAAAAAUAGUAAUCUUUUUGACUUAAGAUAAAUUUAUUAUAAAAAAUAUAUUUAAUUACUAAUUUAAUAAAAGUAAUUUGGUAAUGUAAAUAUUACUUAAAUUGUCUAUAGUAAAACUUGAAGCAGUUUGACGUUGACCAAAGUUAAAACAUCUCAUAAUUAACCUGAAACGGAGGAAGUACCUUUUGGUUGCUUCAGUCUUUUUUUUCACUUUUUGUUUGAGAUGUCUUUCUUUUUUGGCCUACAUAGUUGAGUACACCACACAGAUGCUAUUCAAUCGUGUUCGCUACAAAAUGUUGUGCCACCCCUUUUCAGAGGCUUGAGCUAGGGCUCUGUUUUCAUGCACGCCAUCAAAAUAUUUUUGAAAACAAAAUAGACAAACAUUUGACCACAUAUAUUUUGGUGUCAUACAUCACUUUAUAAACUAAUUAACAAGCUCCAUUUAAACAUAGAAAAACACAAAUAAUUUAAUAACUUAAUUAUAUAUGAGUAAAUUUCACAAACUACAUAUAUAUAUAUAUAUAUAUAUAUAUAUAUAUAUAUAUAUAUAUACUUUAAUCAAUCUUUCACAAAACUACAUAUAUAUAUAUAUAUAUAUUUUUAAUCCAAGCUAACAAUUGCUGGUGCUAUAUUAAAUAGGGGCAGCAAUAUAUUACAAAUUAAAGUGCAAGCAAGGCUUGUAGGCAGAAACUCAAGGAAAACACUAUAAUACCAAGGUGAGCUGCACUAUGCUUGGAUAGCGCGGCCAACUGUCUCAAUCAAUCCAAUAUUAUAUUCUCGCUAAAUCUUUCGCUCCACACACAUAGCCCUAGUGAAUUUAUGAGUAAAUUUCACAAACUACUCAUACUUUAUUCAAUCUUUCACAAAACUACAUAUACUUUUUUUUUGAAUCCAAGACAACAAUUGCUGGUGCUAUAUUAAGUAGGGGCAGGCAGCAAUAUUUACACUUAAGGAAAACACGUACUAUGCAUAGUACCAAUAGUCUUAAUCAGCUCAAUAUUCUCGCUAAAUCUUUUGCUCCGCACAUUGCCCUAGUAAUUAAUAAUUUAUGCUCUUAUUCUGCUAGCAAUUUGAGGUACGUGUCUAUAUUAUUUCUUGGUGAAGAUUGGACGUCGAUGAGCUAUUGAGUAUGGCUAGCUAGCUAUUGAUCAUGGAUGAUGAGCUUGGCCUUGGAGUCACCGGCCAGCUCGCCGAUCCGAUACACGUCGCCUAUCCCCAUGUGCGCCAUGAGGAACCAUGCCAUGGUGAUGAGCUCGCCGCCACGGCUGAGCUGGCGCACGUGUGUGCUCCCCUGGCACUUGCCGGCCGCGUAAGUCAGCAUCUCCCUCCACACUCCGGCCACCACCCUCCACAUGGUGUCGUCGUCCAGCUCCCGGAGCACCUUGGCCAGGAUGCAGGCGUCGAACAGCACCGACUUGCUCCGGUCGCCCUUCACAUCGGCCGGCUUCUUGGACGUGUUGACGGAAAGCAGCAUCCGGCGGGCGUCGUCGUGGUUGGGGUCCCACGCCUCCGCCGACUUGAAGAAGCGGCGCGCCUCGGCGCACGUGUCCCGGUAGCGGAGUAGGCCGAUGCCGGCGGUGGCCGACAGCAUCUCCGGUUGCCUGACGAGGAGGUAGAGCAUGUACUCCGACAGGGUCUCGCUGAUGGACAUCAAGCCGAUGGUGUCGAGCAUCCGAGGCCCUUCCCGCUCUCGGUGACAGCAUAGGUCAGUGGCGAUGUGCCAUAGCAGCAGCGACUCGUCGAACUCCCUCCCGAUGCUGUUCCGCAGGACGCCAUCCAGCUUCUCCUUCACCAAGUCGUCUAUCUCCUUCUUCUUCUUGUCGGCCAGCUGCAGGACGUCAUGUGUAAUCUCCUCGGCCUCCUUCUUCUUGGUUGUUGAGCUCGAGCUCUCCUCCUCCGUAAGCCUAAGGUUGAGCUCCUCUCGUGUUGCCUUGGUCAGCUCCAUCUUGAUGUUUCGGAAGAGGCCCUCGUCAUCCAAUAGGGUCCCCUCGCCGCGGUAGCCGCGCAGCUUCUUCAAGUAGUAGUCCUCGGAGUCCCUGAAUUUUAUGGCCUCCCUCUGGAGACCAACGAAGACAUACGCAAGGGCAUCGAUGGUCGUCGGCGCCCUCUCAUCCCCCUCCUUGCAGUUGCACCAUCGUCCCCGCCUCCCGAUGACGCUCACCAUCGUCACCGGCUUGCGCUGGAUAAAGAAGAAGUCGUCCAAGGUCUCCCUGACGCCCACCUUGUUGGCGACCCAGAUGAGGAACCGCAUCACACUCGGCGGGAUCGUCUUCCGCCUGCAGCACUGGCGGCGGCGACCCUCCUGCUCCUUGGGCUUGCCUAGGCAGUAGCAGAUGAAGUUCAGCUGCGAGGUCCGCUCCGACCACCGCCUUGGCUGCAGCCGCACGGCCCUGGCCACCCGGGAAAGCCACGCCAUGUGCUUGGCUUCGAGGAAGACGAUCAUCCGGUUGGAGCAGAGGAGCAUGAGGAUGGCGGCCACGUCGAGCGCCAGCCCGCCGAGCAGCAGCGCGUAGGUGAUGCCACGGUCCACGGGGAGGAUGCCGGUCUUGUCCAGGAGCACGAAGAGGACGAUGGCGACGACGAGGCAGGUGGUGCAGAUGAAGCGGAGGACGCAGCCUGCCGAGCUGUGGGACACGGGCGCCUUGGUGUACACCAUGUCGUAGAGGUAGUUGAGCUCUAUCUCCAUCACCUCGAACGCCUUGUCCGCCGUCAUGUCGCGGCGGUCCAGGAAGUAGGCCUGGCUGAUCCUCCUCUCCUUGUAGCUGAGGUUGAUGUCGACGUACAGCACCCGGAACAUGGUGAAGAACUCGUACGCUAUUGCCUCCAGGCUUUUGGUCGUCUCCACCAGCCGAACCUCACUGCCCUGCUGCAACACCUCCUUGGCCUUGCUGGCCUCGCCGUUGGCAAUGGUGAUCUCGACGAGAAGGCCGCCAUUCCGCUUGCCGCCAAACACGGUCAUGAGCUUGGCGUAGUUAGGGCCAGGAUCAGGGGCCCGGAAGAUUUUGGCGAUGACACCGUCCACACUGCCGGAGUAGAGCGAGUAGGUGCGCUCGCCGUACUUGAUGACGCCGACGACGAAGAUGAGGGCGGUGGCCGGGAUCAUGGGGUUGCUCCUGAUGGAGCAGGAGAAGACGACCAAGGCGGAGAAGAGCUCGAAGAGCAAGCCAAUGAGGUGGCGGCGCCAGAGCUCGUUGUCGUCGACGGAGUAGGCGGUCAUGGUGUCGGGGCCGCCCAGGUGGAGCAGGAGGAACGGCGUCCAGAAGGCGAAGAUGGGCGGGCCGCCGCCGGCACCGGCAGAGAGGUGGCUGCUGCUGCUGCCGAUGUUGCCGAGGUUGUUGAGGAGGAGGCCGAGGGCGAGGUCGGCGACCCAGUCGGCGAGGAGGUAGCAUGCCCAGAUGGCGAAGCACGGGACAGGGUGGGAGGUGCGCUUGCGCAUGGGCCCCACGAAGAUGAGGAUGACCUGAAGGAGGAGGCUGAGCAGCACAGCCACCCGGAUCUCCCACUCGCUGUCCUUCUGCGGCACCGGCGGAUUGAAACCCAUCCACCGGCCACUAGAUCCCUUCCUUCCUUUUAAUUAUUUCGAUCGAUCGAUCGAUCUUGUGCUCAGCUGCCUAUAGCGCUCAUCAUGCGCAUCCACGUCCACCCAACAUAAAUUAAAUUAAAUUAACUAAGACAGAUAUCAUGAAUUCAUGAUUAUGGAUGGGAGUAUAUACUCUUAGGGCAUGUACAACGGUGUUUAUUAGUGGUCUCUCUAUUACCAUGCAAGUAAAUUUGAUGACAUGGAUGAAAGAGAAAGGAGUAUGGUUGUUAUUCAUGACAACGGCUCAGAGUCGACUCUUAGAAUUUAUUAGAGCAAAUUUUGUUGCAUGGUGGUGAAAGAAAGGAAAGAAAAGUAAGAAAACGUAUUUGGAUACAUUAAUGAUUAGAGACCAUUUUAUUUAUAACUGUUGUAGGAUGCUAGUCUCUAGAUAACUAGAGCUUAUAUCUGACUCUACCUUUGUACAUGCCCUUAUAUGGUAAACAAGAGAAGAACGGAAGAACACACCUGCAUUAAUUAUUGGCAUUAUUGAUUGUUGUGCACAUACAUAUGUUUGCCCCAAAAAAAAUCUGGAGGAAGCCUUACUACACCUUAAAAAAACUAGCUCAAGAGGUGCCUUUUUUUUAACAAAUUGAUUAUUUUCAAAAACUUAUUUCGAAACUAGUCCCAGAAAAAAACUUCAACAAAAAAAUAGGCCGUGGACUUAGCGCCAUAGACCUUGGCGCUGAGAUAUAACGUGUCAGCGCCAACUUUAUUGGCGCUAAGCUCUAAUCCAAGGUGGCACGAAUUUGCUGAGUCAUCAUAGCUCAGCGCCAAAUAAAUCGCGACGAUUUAAAUAGUUGCGCAGGCAACAUAUGGAAGCAAAACCGUUAUAGCAGGUGGUUGAUGGCUUAGGCUGUGAGCCCUAGGGUGCUAGGUUGGAAUCCUGGUAUCCCUCCUCUCCUAUUUUCUUUUGUAUUUUUGGGUUUUUUCCUUUUCUCUUCCUCCUAGCAUUCUUUUAGAAUUAAUAUGUUUUCUCUUCCUCCUAGCAUUCUUUUAGAAUUAAUAUGUUUUACAAAAUAAGUUUUGUUCUCUUGACUACUUACUCUUAUUCUUUUCAAAUUUCUAUAAUUUGUUUUAUUUUGAAUUUGAUUUGGAAUUUCAGUUUAAGUUCUCAUUUGCUAUAUAAUAUGCCACUUUAAUAUUUUUUUUUCUAAAUUCAAAAAAAAUAUAUUUUGAAGAUAGUAUUACGAGAAAAAAAAAGAAAAAUAAAGAUAGAAAAAUAAAACGAGAGAACAAAAAUAAAAAAAAAACAUAUUAAUAAAGAGUGAGAGAGAGAAGAAAAAGGAAAACUAAAAAGAAAAAAAAUAGGACAGAUGGGAAUCAAACCCUGCUUAAUCCUAGAUUAGAGUAGAACUCUACAACCAUUGUGCUAUCAGUCGGACAUUGCUAGAAAUCCCUCCGCAUUAAUUUAACUCGUCGGGACCUCAGCGCCAAGUUAUUUGGUGCUGAGCUACGAUAACUCAGCGAAUUCAUGCCAUCUCGGAUUAGAGCUUAGCGCCAAUAUUUUUAGCGCUGAAAAGGACUAAUUUGUUAAAAAAAAGGCAAGAGGUGAGGGACUCCUUUUAUAUUUAAGUUGGUUUAACUCCCCUUAAUUAACUAACAUGGGAUUUAUUCCCAACAACAUACAUACGCAGGAAACUACUAUAUUUUUUUCGUGUCGUCUAAAUACUUAUAAAAGAAACUAUAAAAACUUGAUGAGAUAGAUUAAUAUGUGAUAUAUUAUCACACAAACAUACAAAUUUAAAUUUAAUUUAUAUAAUUUGCACAAAACAAACAAAUUAAAUAUGACUAUAAAUAUACACAUACGAGCUACAUCAGCUUAAUUUAUUUGCAACAGUAAAAGCCGAAGUUGAAUUUUUAUGUUUAUGAAGCUGAUAUGUUAUACAUUAAUUUAUCUUGUUAUUUUUUUCUUAAACUUUUUGUACAUUAGCUAUUUAGAAAAUAUGCAAGAAACGAAUGAAUAUAUCUUUAAGAGAGUUAUGCGAGCUAUAUAGCAAAGCUACUCAAUAGGAAGGAAUAAUUAGAGGUUGAGUGAUUGAAAUGUCGCACCUGUGCUACGAUCGAUAAUGCAUAUGUGUCGUGGAUGCAGUACACACUUGACUUGCUGCUGCAAUAAUUUGUUAAUUGCUGAAUGAAUGGUAGCAGCAGUAUAUAUAUAUAGUGUGCAUUUGAUCUAGCGAUCCACGAUCGACAUGCUUCUAACUUACACAGUUUAUAUGGAAUAAGUCUUUUUUUUUCCUUUCCAACAGAAUUAAAGAAAAAGAGUAAAGUGAAAGUAAAUCUGGAGUACUCUGCUUGCUUUGCUAUCACAGAGGAAUGAGUUCGCUCGCACGUAUCACGAAUGGAAUUGGAAUGAUAGGGACUUAAAAGUUUAGGUCAAGUCCCUAUCACAUCGGAUGUUUGGACACUAAUUAUAAAUAUUAAACGUAGAUUAUUAAUAAAACCCAUCCAUAAUCUUGGACUAAUUCGCGAGACGAAUCUAUUGAACCUAAUUAAUCCAUGAUUAGCUUAUGUGAUGCUACAUUAAACAUGUGCUAAUUAUAGAUUAAUUAGGCUUAAAAAAUUUGUCACGCGAAUUAGCUCUUAUUUAUGUAAUUAGUUUUAUAUUUAGUCUAUGUUUAAUACUCCAAAUUCAUCCGAUAUGACAUGGACUAAAGUUUAGUCCCUGGACCCAAACACCACCUCAAUCCAAUAUUGUCACACAUAGCCCUAGUGAUAAUUUCUUCUGUUAUUCCGCCAGCAAUUUCAGACGCCUCUAUUUGUUUCUUGCUGAAGAUUAUCCUGUUGCAUUCGCUUCAAAUUUCCCAAGCCACCAGGAUUGGUGUCAUCCUCACAAUGCUUUUGACUUUCCCCUGCUGUCCUGGCGUCUGCACUGUGCAUCUGUCAUUGCUCAAGCAAGGUAUCAUUGGCGUAAUGGUUAGUGUUAACUUGAUCAUUGUGCAGUUUUGGCGCCACUGCUUGCCAUAUAUUUUCUUGUGAUGCUGGGCAGUUCUUGAAGCGAUGGCAAAGCUGAGAGAAGUAAUAUUUUUCAGCUACUCUCUUCGUUAUAGUCGGUCAGAUAUCCCGAUCCUAUUUUUCAUAAUUAAGUAACCAUGUAAACAUUUUGUAUUUUGAUGGAGCCCAGGUCUUCUAAAUUUGUUUUGACCACUGCGUCAGCUUCUUGAUCAUCGAAUUGUGCUAGGUAGGCUGACCUCGUUGUGAAAGAUUUUAUAUAUAUAUAUAUAUAUAUAUAUAUAUAUAUAUAUAUAUAUAUAUAUAUAUAUAUAUAUAUAUAUAUAUAUAUAUAUAAGGAUGUGUAUUAAUUAAAAAAACUACAAAUUUAGCACCAUAUUUUUAUAAAACUAUAGAUUUGAGGCAUCUCAUCAUAAAACUACAAAUUUAUCAAUUUUAUCACAAAAUUGCAGAUUUUGUAACUUUUAAAAAGCAAUAGAGUUAAGAUAUGUAGUUUUUGAUAGCUUUAUCAGUAAAUCUACAAUUUUGUGAUAUGAUACUUUAAAUUUUUAGUUUAAUGAUAGUUUUAUAAAAUGUAAUCCUCACAUAUUAAAGAUGGUAGCGGCUUUUCCCCCAUGCUGUACCUAAUUUAGUUGGACACUUUUAACAUCUUUAAAAAGAAACAUAAAAAGAAAGCAAGCAAGGUCGUUGUAGUAUAGUGGUGAGUAUUCCCGCCUGUCACGCGGGUGAUCCGGGUUCGAUCCCCGGCAACGGCGUUCUUUUUUUCUUCUGUUGCCAUUUCUCAGCAUUUUCUGCAUCAGUUCUGCUUUUUAUGUCCAUUUCAUUUGUUUUUCUUUUCUCAGCAUUUUUUGCUUCUUGCUGCUCUUCUCUGAAGCUGACAUGAUCGACUCUCCGUGUAUCCUCGAACUCGAAUGGCUAUGAAACAACUAACAUUAAUCUCUUUGCCUACUCUGCACUACGUAUAUUUAUAGGGCCUCAUCGGAUAGCCAAAUGCUUUGGCUGCUCAACCAUUUAUGCAAAAUAAGCUAACCAAUAUGCAUUAAAGUAUAGCUGAAUUAGAGGCAGCGCGGAUACUGUUGGAAAUACAGACAUAUAUCGGCAAUAGCAUAUUGGUAUGAACAAUGUAAGAUGAUCUAGUGAUAAAAUUAAACAUAACCAGGAGCAUGCUUAGAAUAGAAUAAGCAUCAUCUUCACGGAGAGAACGCAAUAUUAUUGCGACUAACAUAAGGAACACAAACAAAGAUAGCGGUAGAAAGUUAUACCCUGUGAAAGUCCCUCCGCUGGAUUGUGAUGCAGAACUGCCUCCGUUGGUGUUGUCGAUCGGUGUGCCAGCUGUAGGUCCGUUUGUGCCAUCUCCAGCAGUCAUGGUGAUGCAAACGAACGGACGGCGAACAACAGAGGAAGAGGACCAGUCGUGCGGAAGCACUCCCCAAAAACCUGAUCACCCGCCUACCCGGUGCAGAUCUCAGGCGAAGGUGUGGUUCCAGAGGCCUUGCUUGUUCCGAUCUCUCGUGCGCGCAAGCGAUCAGAACCGGGGAAGCAAAAGCAACAUAGUCGCAAGCAGGAAGAACCAGCGAUUGGAAAGUUAGCGUGAAGAUCUGACCGGGGUGUCCUUGAACUCGAAUGGCUAUGAAACAACCAACAUUAAACUCUUUGCCUACUCUGCACUACGUAUAUUUACAGGGCCUCAUCGGAUAGCCAAAUGCUUUGGCUGAUCAACCAUUUAUGCAAAAUAAGCUAACCAAUAUGCAUUAAAGUAUGGCUAAAUUGGAGGCGGCGCGGAUACUAUGUAUUUAACAUAGAGCGCAUUUAGACUGUAACAAUUACUCUACAAAUAAUUUAUAAAAAAUAUUUUAAUUCCCUUAAAGUUCCAUAAAAACUUAUUCAUUGUUGGCUUAUUAAAAAGACAUUCACCAAGCUUUCUUUUUUUUUUCUAAAAAAUGUUUUAUGGAAUGUGACUUUCACAAAUUAAAAAAAUUCCGUAUAUAUACACUGUUAAAAUCUAUCGAGUACUAGGAUUAAGAAUUUUCAUCCUAUCUUUAUCCUUCUUAUAUCAUACAUUUAAUUUAAUUAUUUAUUAUUUUUCUAUACAUAAAGAAAAUCGUGCAUAAAUAUCUUUGAACGAAACUUGCUCAUGCGCUAGUAAUCGUCUGAAAUAAUUAAGGUAGACUUGAAUUCGUGGUCAUAUAUAAAUAAAAUAAUGGCUAGCAUUUUCAGAUGCCACUAAUCGCUGUGCUUCACAUAUUUCAAAGAAAAGAAAAAGUCAUUUUACAAUAUGAAUGAAACAUUUUAGCAACAUAGCCUGUUAUUUUAAAAACACAAGCAUGAGCUAUAGUUAUGAGGAAUAUAAAUUCCUUUUGAUUUGCAAAGAGGACGGGUGAAUUGGAAACCUCUAGAAUCUGGAUGUUGUUGCUACUGUCUCUCUUCAAGUUGCUACUAACGUAGCACUACAUGUGAACGGUGAUUAGCUUAUCUUUUUUACUAUCCGUAAAUUCCUGAUUUAUCUUAAACUUUAACAGCGCCAAGCGGCCCAAUCAACUAAUCUCAAGCCGGCGUUUUGUCGGAUUUGGAUUGGAUCACGAGGCAGGGUUGGAUAUGAAGAUAAACUGCAGCUAUGAGGUAAAAAAAUGACGUGUGAGGUGAAAAAAAACGAAACAUCAAGAGACUUCCCGUGGCCGCAGCUUCAAGGGAAUUAAUCCACCUGAUCAUUAGAACCGUUAUAUGUCUGUGUAACUGAAAUCCCAUGUCGUAACUUGAUUAAUUGUUUCCAUGUAUUAACAUAUACUCCAACGUAUCAUAGCUAUUAAGCUACUUUCUCCGUACCAAAAUAUAAACUUUUUUUAGCAUGGUAACAAGUUAAACAUUUUCAACUUUGACUAUUAAUAGUAAAAAUAUAAAAAAGAUCAUAUCAUAUAAAAUUGAUGUUACUAGAUUUAUCAUUAAACAAACUAUCAUAAUAUGUAACUCUUUUUAUUUAAAACAUCACUUUUAUAGAUAUUGUUAGUCAAAAUAGUAUCUCGUAGACUGUGUCAGAGUCCAAAAAUACUUAUAUUUUAAGACAAAGGGAGUAGCUUAUGUGAGCUACUCAUUGAAAAAUUGGCUUAUAUGUACAAUUGUUAAAGAACAUCGAAUAAAAAAUUUAUAUAUAUAUGAUAAUAGCAAUUUUUUUCAAUGUUGGGGGUAUGAAUUUUUUUGAGAAAGGGCAUGAAAAUAACUAUAUGAUGUGCUUGUAAUAGUUAAGUGCACGCAUUAUAUGUCCCAAGAAGAGACCGAAUUUAUUUAUGUUGUGGAAAAAAGAAGAAAACUAUGAACACACGUCUAGCUAAUGGAUGAUAAAUGAAACCGAUUUUGUGAUAAUUAUUCGAGAACACAAACAAACGGAUUAAAAUUAUUUUCUUAAAAAAAGUAGGUAUCGAGAAAUUGAUAUUUUAUACUAUCAUAAAACACAUGUAAAUAUAAUAUACCAUUAAAAAUACUCCUUGCCUUCAUAAAAUACAUUUUUGACUUUAAGUUGCUAAUUUUGACGAACUAUAUUUUUAAUAAUCAAAUUUUAUGACAUUAAAGGGACAUUGAGUCUGGUAUGGUUCGGAAAAAUUUCAACAUUAAUAUUAUACACGGGCUAUGAAAAUGGCACGCCAACGAGUGCGCUUAUUUUCUAAGUAUCUACUUCUCCCGUUUCACAAUGUAAGUCAUUAUAGUAUUUUCCACAUUUAUAGUGAUGUUAAUGAAUCUAGAUGGAUAUAUAUGUCUAGAUUCAUUAACAUCAAUAUGAAUGUGGAAAAUGCUAGAAUAACUUACAUUGUAAAACGGAGGAAGUAACAAUCAUGUCGUGAUAUGUAUAUGCUGCCGUCUCAUCCAGUUAUCAAUAUAAUAAAAAUUGCAUAAUCUGACAAAAUUUGUAAUAAAAUUAGUUUGAACCCAUUUUCGGGAAGAAUACCAAAUUAACACUCAGCUUUGAGCAGCAGUUACGUCUCGUGGGAGAUGAGAGGAAAGGCCAACUCUAGAUAACAGAAGCCCAAUAGCAAAUGGAGGCCCACAAAGCCCAACAAACAGGUCAGGCCCAAUAAGAGGAGGCCAACGAAACCCGGCUUUGACCUUGCCGCGCCCGUUACCAAAUCCGACGAAACCCACCGCCGUCGCCUCGCCGCCGCCGCCACCGCCAUCGCGCGCUGCCCUGCUCUCCCUGACUCCAUUGGUAGCCUCCGCGGAGGAGAAGGGGAGGCGGAGCCGGUGGGUGGCGGCGCCCUAGCCUUCCUCGAAACGGCGGCGCGAAGCCACCACCACCUCCACGGCGGAGGCGCUGCAGGCGGAGAAGGUGAUGGACGAGCCGGACGCUCCCGCCGCUCCUGCUCCAGGUACGGGCCCAUGUCCUCCUCCUCCUCCUCCUCGCUGUAGGUCCCAACGGCUGGGCGCAUGCGCGGGCUUUUGCCUUCCGAAAAUAGGGUUAGGGUUUUAUCUUACCCAUGCGCGGCGAUUCGAGAGCCCGCUUCUUGAUUUCUUGCCUCUGAUGAUGCCAUUCAUUCGACUAGCCUAGCCUGUGGAGUUCAUUUCUUGAACCGUAAUUGGCUAAUUGCAUUUGCACAGGUUUCUUUCCAAGCAAAUAGGAGUACUGCAUUUGCACAACGCCCUAAUGCCAUAGUUUUAAUUUCAUUCACCAACCUACCAACUCAACCCUGCUGAAAAUUCUGAGCAUUGAAUUGCAUUGAGAAAGCACUAAUCAUGCUUAUCGGUAUUUGCUUUCACGCUUCUGCAGUGGAGGGGGAGCCAAAGGGGAAGAAAUCCAAGUCAAACAAAGGAAAUAAGCAUAAGCAGCAGGAUUCCCUUUCUGCUGUAUCCGAUGCCAGUGCUGUUGUGACGCAUACAGAUUUGCCUGAUGAAUCUGGAAAUGGUUGCACGAGCGGGGAAGGUGCCACCACCUCCACAGCGCCGGCGCUAGAGGCAGAGAAGGUGGACAAGCGGGAGGCUCCUGCUGCAUCUGCUUCAGGUACGGACCAUCUCAUCCUCGCUGUAGGUUGCUAUGGCUGUGAGUAUGCCUGGGGCUUUUGCCUAUUGUUACAGCCUAGGUUUAACCACGCGCAUCCAUUUGAGAGCGCAGUUCUUGAUCUCUUUCCUGUCAUGCCAUUGAUUCCAUGAACCCUUUGCGAGCUCAAUUCUUGAACUGAUAUUGCAUUUGCACCUAUAAAAAAGUACUUCAUUUCCACAUUGCCCUGAUGCCAUAAUUCUAAUUGCAUUUCGCCUACUUGCGCAUCACACCCUAAUGACACUCUCAAUAGGGAUAUUUGUUCGAAUUGCAUUGAGCAAGCAGUAAUCGUGCUUAUCAGUAUUUGCUUUGACACUUCUGCAGUGGAGGGGACGCAAAAGGGGAAGAAAUCAAAGGACAAGAAACGAAAGAAGCAUAAGCAGCAGGGUUCCCCAUCUGCUGUAUCCGAUGCCAGUGCUGUCGUGACGGAUACAGAUUUGGCCAAUGAAUCUGGAAACGGUUGCACGCAUGGGGAAGGUGUAUUACGAGAUGCUGAUGUUGCGAGUUCCAGAAGUGGCAAUGAUCUAACACCGGAUGUGGAUCGAACGCUGGGGAAGAGCAAGGCGUCGAAACGGCAAUGCGAUGCCACCACGUCCACAGCAGCAGCGCCGGAGGCAGAGGAGAUGGACGAGCGGGAGGCUCCUGCUGCUUCUGCUUCAGGUUCGGACCAUAUCCUCCUCGCUGUAGGUCGUAAAAGCUGUGCUCAUGCCUAGGGGUUUUGCCUAAGUCUAGGGCCUUGACACCUAGGAUUAGGGCUUAUCGAUGCAUGGCCAUUUGAGGGCCCAAUUCUUGAUUUCUUCCCUCUGAUGCCAUUGAUUCGACGAGCCUUUGAAAGUACAAUUCUUCAACUGAUACUGCAUUGUACAGAUUUCUUUCAAAAGAAAAAUACUGCAUUUGCAUAACGUCCUGAUUCCAUAGUUCAAAUUGCAUUUCGUCAACUCCACAUGUUGAAAUUCUGAGUAAGGUAUUGGUUUUAAUUGCGUUGAGAAAGAAUUAAUCAUGCUUCUCGUAUUUGCUUUGAAUUUUCUGCAGUGGAGGGGACACGAAAGGGGACACGAAAGGGGACGAAAUCAAAGGACAAGAAACGGAAGAAGCAUAAGCAGCAGGAAUCUCCUUCUGCUGUAUCCGAUGCCAGUGCUGUUGUGACGGAUACAGAUUUGUCUAAUGAACCUGGAAAUGGUUGCACGAGUGGGGAAGGCGCAUUACGAGCUGAUGAUGUUGUUGCGAGUAGUGGGCAUGAUCCAACACCAGAAAUGGAUCGAACGCCGGGAAAGAGCAAGACAUUGAAACAGCGGCGUGGCGGUGCCAUCUCCACGCUUGCGGUUCCGGAGGGGGAUAAGGAGGUGGAUGAGCAGGAGGCUCCUGGCGCCUCUGCUUCAGGUAUGGACCGUUCCCCCCUUGCUGUAGGUUGCAACAGCUGUGCGCGUGCCCAGGGCUUUUGCUGAUGGCCACCUAGGGUUAAGCGGCUAUUUGAGAGUCCAAUUCUUGAUUUCUUGCCUCUGAUGCCAUUGAUUUAACGAGCCUUUGUGAGUUCAGAGUUCUUUCAUGAACUGAUAUACCAUCUGCACACAUUUUUUUCAAAAGAAAAAUGUUGCAUCUACACAGCACCCUGAUGCCUUGAUUCUAAUUGCAUUUCACCAACUUGCUGACCAUGUCCUCAUGAAUUCUGAAUGUAGUCUUAGUUCAAAUUGCGUCUAAAAAAUUAAUCAUUCUUAUCAGUAUUUUCUUUGAGGCUUCUGCAGUGGAGGGGGCGGCACCAAAAGGGAAGAAAUCAAAGUCAAAAAAACAAAAGAAGCAAUCCCCUUCUGCUGUAUCUGAUGCCAGUGCUGUUGUGAUGGACACAGAUUUGGCCAAUGAAUCUGGAGGUGGUUGCAGGGGUGGGGAAGGUGCAUUACAAGAUGCUGAUGUUGUUGCGAUUCCCAGAGAUGGGCAAGAACCAAAAUGUCCUGAGGUAAACAGUGCUGAAGAUUUGGUGGCAGGAAAGAAAGGGAAUAAGGAUAAUAACUCCCAGCUCUGCAGCUCGUUGCAUGAGAGUUCUAUAGAAAGAAAAAGGAGAAAGAAUAGAGAUAGGCGGAGGAGAAAGAAGGAAAAUGCCAAUAGAAGGAGCAAUGUGCAGAAUCCUUCUUUGCUACCUGGUGCUGGUGAGGUUGUCUCGGUGGCAACAGCUGACAUGAAUAAUACUCCUGGCUCUAAAUGCAAGAAUCCUUCGCAACCUGUUGCUGACGAGGUUGGAUUGGUGAUGACAGCUGAUGGAAAUAUUUCUCUAGGCUCUGAAUGCAAGAAAUCAAACAAAAAGAUGAAGAGAAAUCAAACAAGUGUUCCUGAGGCACCCUCGGUGCAAAGGAUGGAUUUGGGUGAGACUGCUUCGGUUGGAGUGAUGGAUGGUGAAUGUGAAGUUCAAGCUGUCUUAUCCGAUUGCCAAAGUGCAAGGAGCGAUAGAUCAAAUAUAGCUCAGGCACACAAAGAGAAUUUUCGGCACAUCUACUCACCAAGAGGAUCAUUGAUAAGAUUUCGAAGGAAAAAACUUCUUAUUCUAGAUAUUAAUGGUUUGCUUGCGGAUAUCAAUCAGGACCACCACAAUGCUCACCUGUCACAUGCAAAGGUUCGGGGAAAAUUAGGUAAGGUUGCUUAUUUAAUACUUGAUACACAAUUAUAUUUGUACACAUACUAGUGUUCUCUGUAAAUAAAGGACCAACAUAUCAAAUACAAUAUACUAAUUUGCAAUGGCUUAUCGUUUGUGUGCCAGUCUUCACAAGACCCUACUGUGAUGAUUUUCUGAGAUUUUGCUUCGAGAACUUUGAGCUAGGGAUAUGGUCAUCGAGAUUGAAGUACUAAUUCCUCUCCCCUACAUCUCUUGUUUUUGCUAGAGUUUCUUGCAUGGUGUUAAUGACAACAUUCUUAUUCUGCAGAGCAAAUGUGGAUUCGGUUGUAAAUAUCAUUAUGAAGAAGGAUAUGAAACAGUCCCUAUUAUUCUGUUGGGUAAGUUGCAGAAAAGUAUGCAUAGUUGCUACAGCCUACAACUAAAUUCAUGGUUUCUGCCUAGCUAGUAAUUGAAAGAAGGCCAAGUGGUUGUUGAAAAACUCCAAAUUUUAUGCUACUGUAUUUUUUUUUUGUUUUAGUACUCUUGUUUCUUUUCUUUUUCUGUAGCUUUGGUUGCAAGUCAGGUCCUAAUGCACACACUAUAAUUUGCCAGGACAUGUCGAAAUGCACUGGUACUGGGUUUAAAACUCUUGAAAACAAAAACAAACCAUUAGUACUGAAGGAGCUAAAGAAACUGUGGAAUAAAGAGGAUCCUGAUCUUCCAUGGGAGCAAGAAGAGUUUUCACCUUCAAAUACAUUACUUGUGGAUGAUUCCCCUUACAAGGCUCUGGGCAAUCCGGUACUGACUUCACCCCUGUUCCUAUGCAAUUUAUAUCUGUUGUGAUAAGAUCAAGUUGUUGUAAUUCGCACGCAUUAUUCUUCUCCUGAUAUAUGUAUUUUGCAGCCACACACUGCCAUUUUUCCUCACCCCUACAGCUAUCUUAACAAGAAAGAUGAUUCAUUGGGUAUGCUCCAUUAUUUCAAGAUCUAUUUAAGUAUUUAUUUCUUAUAAUUGGUGCUCCAAAAUGGUUAGUGUUGAUGCCAAUUUUCCAUGAGCAGGACCAGGUGGAGAUCUUCGGGUGUAUCUGGAGAACCUUGCUACUGCAGAUGAUGUUCAGCGCUAUGUACAGGAGCACCCAUUCGGUCAACCUUCCAUUACAAAGAGUGAUCGACAUUGGAAUUUCUAUGUGAAAAUACUUGAUAAACUGGAGAAGCCCUUUGCCUGAUGGCCCCGUUUGGUUCAGUCUGCUAAGCAUUGAGCAUUUGCAUGGGCAUGAAGUUUUUGACCCCUGGUUCUGUUUGCUCGCUUGACACACCUACCUGUAGCUACUUUUGUACUAGUUCCGUAGAGCCUUAGACAAUGGGGCAAUUGCCCAGUUUUGAUAGCUUGUUGUUUUGGUCCCUUCCUGUUCUGAACUAGUGAUGAGAUGGAAGAACGUAAUACCUGUUUGCCUGUAUUUCAGUCGCACGUACACUGAAUCAUUUAGUUUCCCGGCAUCAAGGGUAACAGGGUUGUAAUUGUUAGUUCCCAUUGGAAAAUUUUGGUGAACUAUUUGUUGUAACUUGUAAGAAUGUUUCAAGCUGUAACCUUUCUCCCUUGCACAAAGUGCUGUAAUCUUGUAACAAUCAUUGAACUCUCUGGUAACCUCAAUUCUGGCCAGGAACAGAACAAAAUAUUAUCAUUUUGAAUGUGAUUGGUUUGUCCAAAGAAGUUGUACGUUGCUCUGAAACGUCCAACUGUGGUAGGCCUUUUCAGCAAUAUUCGAGAGUGACCUUUUGUGCAGGACAAAAAGGAUAACCUCUGAACCUAUUGAUCGUGAUGAUGGUAAUUUUUAUCGAUUUGAUUAGCAGGAAUUGUGCCUCAGGAUUUGCAGGUUCAUGCAAAACCUGAUAUCUUUCUGUGAGACAUUGAAAACAUGGAUACCAAUUAUCGCCAAGAUGCUGUAUGGACCAUCAGGCCAACUCAUCGCUCCAGGAUCAAAACAUGUCUCUGUUCAUGCUUCCUAAAUCAUUAUCUACACUGUUUGAUAGUGCAUGUUUAACUCCUCAGAUACAUGAUACAUGCUUGCAGCUGUUUGGCCUUGGAUGGAUGGAGCAAGAACCCAUAAUUGAAGACAGGAAGGUAUGUAAGUUUACAUGUAGAUUGCUUGUCUUUGUACUAGUGAUGAAUGAAUGCAGCAGGAGGCGCCUGAUGAGUCUGUAUGCUUAAUGUUAAGUGCAGGUUGCAGAGUCACGAGGUGCUUGCUCAAGGUGCAGUGUGUCUGUGUGUGUGGUCACAGCCGCUGUACUGGCAGCAGCACAUCCUGCCAUCCUGGAGAAAAAGCUCCCACCUGAUUCAGCCUAAAAUCUUCAAUUGCCUGACUAUUCUGACAAUAUCAAUAGUCUUUGCCACUUGUCAGCGAGUGUGAUGAAUGAGGGCAAAUGAAGUAAGUAACCUGUAUUUAGUCCCAUUUAUUUGUAAUCUUGACUUAGGUUAUGCCUUGUGCAGAUUUGGUUGUGCUUAGUUGAACUUCUUUGAUAGGUAUAAAUUUAAUUUUUAAGACUAUAGAAUUUUCAUGUUUUUUUUUUAUUUUUUUCUUACUCUGAAUAUCUCGCCUUUGGUUCAGGAAGCUCAGUUAAACUCCCAGUAUAUCUAUUCUACACCAAUUAGUUUGCUGAUGGUUCACUGAAGUGUGGGAUAUUUCCUGCUUUUCUUUGGUAGUGUCAUUCAUGUGUGAAGUUCUAUUCUUGCUUGAGUUACUUGGAAAAUAAUCCUAGAUGCCAUUCCAAUGGUAAAACAGUAAAAUCAUAUCCAUUGUUUACAAGGAUACUACUUCACUACCCACAUCAAUGAGAUAUUCAUAAAUGGCAAUUGACAAGGAGACAAGAUGCAAAUGCCACACGCAUGACUUGCUAGCUCGGGAGACCUUUUGUCAUCUUUGCUAGAUUUUGCUGAAUUCUUGUACUACUGUACUAGUAGUGGUACAUCCAACAAUGGCAUAUGUCUACACACAUCUGGCCAUACUGGCAUACUAUACUACAGUAUAGUACUAUACCAGUCAGUCAGACUGGACCUGCAUGCUGUGAAAUGAAAUGCAUUUAUCAAACACACCAAUUCAAUUGCUGCUCUGCUCAUGGUUAUGCAUGACUUGUGAAAAUGGCAACAUCAAGAGAUGAUGGACCACACCACACCACCAUGAAGACUGUGAUGCAGCUUUCUCUGGAGAGGUAGCAAUAAGCAUAUCACUUUCAGUGAUAAGGGCACAAAGCUCUUGUAGAUUUGCAGGUGCCCUGUAUAUCUCUGUGUUCUUCCUUGCUCAGGAGGUUAAUUGUACACAUCGUCUCAUGCAGCAUGCGUGAACCUUGCCUUUUCUUUUUCCCUUUUGUGAUUGCCUUUUCUGUUCUCUUGGCUAGCAAGAGCACGAUUAGUUUAAUACUUAGCAUAGUAGAUUAAUUUUUGUUUUGUCAUAUGCAUCUUAUAGAUGACCCAACGUCCAAGCAAAGGAGGGAGAAGACAUGCCGUUGCAAACGGCCAAAUGCAUAGUUUGAUGCAUCGAGAAGUGAAACCACCCACAGAUAUAAAGAAAUUCGUGAGACUAUUAAAUUGCAUACUACUAUCAUCUUGAUUUCACCAAAUAACUAAACGAGCCAAAGGAUGUCAAAGUGUCCAUCUCUCCUGUCCUUAACGGUAUUGCUGCAAUCUCGAUGCAUCUUGGCUAAAUGUUGAUUAAUUUAGUGAUGAUCUAGCUGGUCAAUGCGAUGGCUCCCAUGUGCACUGGUGAUUUAUAUACAUACAGUAUUGAUUAUGAAAAAACUACAGGUAUGAUAUGCUUGGACCAUACUGCAAUUUUGACUGGCCUCACAAUACUAGAAGAAUUGAUCACUGCUUGCCUGUUCGUUAAUUAGCAUUAGCGUGUCGAAGGAAUCAAUCAAGCUGUUUGAGGAGUCCUGACCUACCAUGAACAACACUGAUCUGGUCUUGUUAGGGAUCACAUGGGUGCUGGUGCAUGUGGAUGUAGAUGUGGGUGGGGGAAGCUUCUGAUGCAGAGAGAAAGAACUGUGCUUCAUCAUGUGCCAGCCUAGCUGGUUGCAGACAGGUCUUUUGUUUGUUUGAUUGAACAUGCUUGGUGAUUAUUGAGGGGGGCACCUUGUGUCCUGUCCUUGAUAAUUUUGCUACUAAUUGCUAUUGCUAUUUGCCACUGCACACCUACAUUUUCCCCCCAUGUGGUGUUGCUUGGUGCAUCUGCAGUUCUUGUCCAAAAACCUAAUUACUAAUGAUCUUCACUUGUAUGAUACUAGUAUAUAUUCUUAUCUCUAGGCAUUCUGCAAAGUUCUUACCCUAUCUGAUUAGUUAUUACCUUCCCACAUUAACCUACACCUGUUUGGUAGUCAUUGUCAAGCCGUGGUGAUUAAGCAAAAGAUCACAUUUUAGUAGAAGUGAAGCAGGAGUCCACACUGAAAUGUACUACUUGGAGAAUAAUAAUCUACCAGACAGGGUGAGCGAGUGCCUUUUAACUUUAUGUGAUAGAAUCAAAUGAAUGCCACAUCAUGAUUCCUGCCAGGAAAGAUAGAAAACCACUGGAAAGUAAAGAUGGAGACAAACAUCAGAUCUUGCCUACUGCUGAGGGAAUUUCUUAAUCAUUAUUUUAUCAUGCUUACCAGAGCCAGUAAUGGCUCUUUCACAAUCACGUUUGCCUGACUGUACCAGCUGUUACAGGUAUCUAAACAAAUUGCAGGUUGGCGCAUGAGGGUGUCUGAUCAGGACAGUCAUGUGUUUGGUGCAAGGAGAAGAGGUGUGUUCUUCUUGCAAAUCCUUUUCUUUGUACAAUAACUGCACAUUAAUUACUAGCAGUAAUUUUGCAUUGCGUAUCAUAUCACGCUUGUUAUCAAAUUUAGUUGGUAGCUAAAGGGGUCCUCUAUAUGAUUGAUGAAGAUGGAUGAGGUAUCUCAUUCCACCCACUGUUCAUCAAUGAUUUUAGACGACUGAAAGAUUGUAGUAGUCCUGACAGAGAAAUACUAGUAUGAAUGAUCACUCAUUUGAGUUGGUCUGCCUCUUUCACCCUAGUCGGAGACACUGUCAAAUAUACUCAUCACUGAGUCACAAUGUGUCAUGUUCCUUUCACCCAUCAGGCAAAUUUAGUUCUCAUCAAGAUCUAAUAAAUAUUUUAAGCAUAAAAAGGCACCAAUAUUUGUAAUUAGCUACAAGAUCCACAUUGGAGUAGGUAACUGACAAAUACAUACAUCCUCUUUGGCUUCUCGCUUCCACUGAAAAAUGAAAACCAGUGCAAAGUUCUAGCAAAUGCUUCUUGGAUUGUUGUUCAUGCUUAUUAGCAGUUUCUUCUGUUAGGUAAACACUAAAAAUGUGGAAUAAAAGCCAUUUUCGUCAUCAACAUUCAACAGUUAAAACAGUGGCCUAACUGAAAGGCUAAUAGUCACAUUUCUUGUACCAUUAUAUGGGGGUUACUUAGUCAUUUCAUUUAGCCAUGAAUCCAUAUAAUCCAUAUGUCCCUAUGCCUUAACAUCUUGUUGAAAAAAUGGUGUACAGAGAGGAGAUCACUCCUGUAGCUCUAGGUCUGUGCAUGGUUGCAGCAGUCUUGCAGCACAGCAUGGCAAAGCACCAAUACAUGCUUCAAAGCCAAGAAUUGCAUCUGGUCUUGAGCUCACGGAUGAACACCGUCAAUGCACUGUUUGUUAGUUGGCCCUUGCACUCCUCCUCCCUCCCUCACAUUAAUGCCUCCUUGACUAAAAGUGCAGUGCGGUUUUACAUGUACAGACAACAGAUCAUUUGCACACUAAUGACACAGCUAAUCUUUGUAAGUAAGGCCACCCUGUGAGAUCAUCUCACCAACCAGUUAGGAACAAUAGGAGAAUUUCUUUUACCUGAGCACAACUAACUCUUCAGAGGCCUUUUGCUUGCCUGAAUGCCAAAAUGACAAAGAGAUGCUGAUGUGGUGUGCAGCUUGUGCUGUUGUGCACAAACAGGCACCAUCCAACUCUGAUGGUGGGUAGGGCCAAGAAAGACCUUGGAACAGCACAUGGGGUGCUGAGAAGAGAACAAAAGCACCCCUCUGCCCCCACCCUUAACAUCUCCCUUCCUAGCCUGAUGAUGAUGAUGCGCUUGAUACAUACUUAGCCUGCUAAUACAGCAUUUCCAGUGUCUUUCUUGUGCAGCAGGGCAGUUAAUGUACUCACAUUAUGCUAAAUUGCAUUAGAAAAAGGGAGCAAAGUCCUCCUCCCUCAUAUGGUGGUGACAUCUUGCAAACCUGUACACUGCCUGGCCUCAAAGUCUCCUCUCCUUUCUCACCCAUUUUUCUGAGCUUCACAUCACAAGUCUUCCUUCCUUCCUUCCUUGUCGUCUGCUAGUUACUCCAUGUCACACUAGUCUCACACAGGAGCAGCAACAAGAAGAGGAAGAAUAGGUGGAGGAGGAGGAAGGCCGUUCUUGGUGCUUGUGCAGCAGCUUCUUGCACUCACACUUGUUCUCCAGUGAGGCCAUUGAUGUUCCUGAUGCUCACACAGUCACAAGAUCCCCUCCCUCUGGGCUGGUUCAUUCAUUCAGAGAAGAUUUGCUGAGAUGUUCUUGUUGGUGUGCUUGAGCUGGUAGCAAGGGCGCCACUGGUUGGUGGCUCCACCUCCCUGCAUUCCUGGAAUUUCUUGGGAUUUCUCCUCCUCUUGAGGCGGUGGUGGUUGCUGAGAUGCCGGCCAAGUACUUGCAGAUGCUCGGGGAGGAGAGGCGGCCGGAGCUUCACCGGCAGCAGGCGGGGUGCGUCACCGGGAUCCUGCAGGCGUUCGACCGCCGGUAUCCCCUCGCCGCCCACCAUUCCCACAAUCGCCUUCUUCCCCCAGGUGCUUGCUUUGCUUCCCCCACUUCUCCUAGUGCUAUUGCUCGGUUCAAAGAUGCAAUUUUUUUUUUACCUUCCUUUUCUGUUCAUUCUGCUACAUCGAGAUUUUUUUAAUUGUUUGCAUUUCUCUGUACAAUCAGUAGACUAUCAGUCUUGAUUUGACUUGUGUGUGCAUAAAAGACUUGGUCUUUGGUGUUUGAUAUGUGUAAUUGAAGGCUUAUAAACCCAUAAUUGGUGUGAAAGAUGAGUGAAGUUGCUUGGUCUCAGAAGCUUCCAAAAUCUUCAUGUCAGGGUUGUAUGGAUGGGUGCUAUGCAUGCUCCUGGUGUUCCUUCAUCCUGCAUUGAAUUGCUAGGUGUUGAUGACAAUUAGUGAGAUCUAGCUUUUUCCCCAAUUUUGGGCCAGGUGCCGGAUUUUACAGGUGCAUUUAGUUUUUGUGAGAGUGAGAUGGAAGUUUUUCUCUGGAAUCUUUAGCAGCUACUAAGAUUUUUUUAAAAAAAUCUGUACUAGUGCUAAAUAGCUGGGAGUUGGUCGCAGCAGCCGACAAAAGAGAGAGAGAGAAAGAGAGCCAUUACACCCUGUAGACAGAUUAUUAAGAGCCUGGUUUUGGAUAAUAAAUCUAUCUCACAAAUGUUGACAGCACUAAUUAUUAAAUUACAAGAAGGUUCUUUCCGAGAAAUGUGGCUGUUUGGAUGAACUACGACAUUGACAUAUUUGUUUUUUCUUUGUUUCAUUUAAUUUGUAGCCAUUUGAAGAUGUUUUUUUAAUCGGAAGAUCCCUUCUAAUAUUUCAAUUCUCUGAAACAGCCCAUGCACUGUCAAGCAGUCCAAGUGUUGGGGAAGAGCGAACAAGAUAUUCAUCUCAGAUUGUUCUUGUAAGUUUCAAUAUUUCUUCUUACAUUCAAUAGGCAUGGAUGCAUUGUUUAUUGUCUUCUACAAUCUGUUUGACUGGCUGCAAUCUGCAUUCAGGACAAGAACAUGAGUAAAAGCUGGAUCGAUAAUCAAAGAGCACCAUUAACAGUGGAGUUGUCGCAAGGAUCUUAUUCAUCGUCGUCUUGUUCUUCGUCGUCCUCCCUUGAUGGAAACAGAUCAGGACAGCAAGACCUAUCCUCCACUGAUCGAAUGCUAUUUCCGGAGAAGCCAUUCAAAAGCUCACCGAAGCUCAAGAGCUCUUCUGACAGUGACUGUGGAGUGGAUUACUACCUUGAUGAUGCCCUUGCCAAGCUCUCAGCCCAACCUAGCUACCCAACUCUUGGUAUAAGAAAUCUCGUAAAGGAUUCAAUAUAUAGAGAUACUCGUGAUUUUUCAAUCAGAACUUUCACCAAAGAGGCAGAAAAAGAUCACCUAUUCAAUUGUGGAGAUCCGCCUAGAAUCUUGAAUGAGCCUCCUAACAGUGCUAUCCAAGAGAAAAACAAAGGAACCAUGGACAUUGACGAAUCCCUCCGAGUUUUAGCCAAGCUCAGGAAUCCAUCUGAAUCAGUCCAGCAACCAAGGCUAUCAUAUGAUGCUCCUCGCUUCUCGUGUGAAGGAAGGGAAUCAGCGUCAAAACUUAGGGAGGUGCCAAGAUUGUCACUAGACAUAAAGGAAAGCCCUCUUAGGAACCGCGAAAUCGACGUAAGGCCAAAGCCAAGCAUGACUGAUGAAGACAGGAGAAGCAGCAUCAGUAAAGAUUACAGUCCACCCUUGGAGACCCAGCAAGAACACAAUGCCUGUAAACGUCUCCCUAGCGUUGUUGCGAAACUCAUGGGGUUGGAAGACUUGCCAGAGCAUAAGGACAAUACUGCGAUAUCUUCACAGGUAUCCAAAUCAGUUACAGAGAGGAGUGAAGAACCCACCAUGCUGAGGCCUUUGAGCCUUUCUUCCCAAAAUGAGGCUACUCCUAGGCAGCAGAGGAAUCUAGAUGCAACAAUCAAGAAUGUUCCUAACUCUAAGUUCCCUGUGGAAACUGCACCUUGGAAACAGCAGGAGAAGAUUGUGCUACCUAGAAAAUUGCCGAAGGGAUCAAAGGGAGCUCAUGGAAAAGAGCAACAUGCUGCAUCAGUUUACAGUGAGAUAGAGAAACGGCUCAAGGACCUUGAUUUUCAGCAAUCGAACAAGGAUCUCAGGGCACUCAAGCAGAUCCUGGACUCGAUGCAAGCGAAAGGGUUGUUGCAGAACAAGAAACGUGAGGAACCAUCGAUGCCGAAGAUAUAUGAUGGAGACCAUGAUAACGGAGAUGUGACUGAUGUAAACCUGAGACUGAAUAGCACCAGCAACACCAAACAGGCACCUGAAGGAACCCCAUCAUUUACAACGGAAGAAGAUAGCACUACAGAAAGAAGCUUCAAAUCACCCAUUGUAAUCAUGAAGCCUGCAAAAUCUGCAGACCUGUUAAGUGAUGUAACCGAGGAUUCCGCUGUUGGUCCAUUAGGCGGUUUAUCAGAGCUACCGCAGCUGAGAACAGCCAAUAGUGCUGAUAAAAGGAAAAGCUCAAAGAAGGUCACUAGGGAAGCUGUGGAGCAACAUACCAAAUCUAGUUCAAGGGCACCUACACCUCAACACCUUGCUUCUUUUGACAAGAGAGCAAAUGGAAGGAAUGAAGAAAUUAGCAGGAAACAGAAGUCUACUUCACAGCUGAUGACUGAGAACUCAGCUAGGAGACAGCAGAUGCAAAGAGAAAAUAAUGGAAGCUUGCUAAAGCAUAAAAAUUCCACUAGCCCUAGAGUACAACAGAAAAAACCUGAUUCAGAGCGGAGGGCCAGACCGCCAAUUCCCUCUCCCGAUUCAAGCAAGAAUCAAAGGCAAUCUGUGGAAAGGAGCCAUUUGGAUUCAGUAUCACCCAGAAGUAAAUUUAGAAGAAAACCUGCUCAAGCACAAGGUGAAGAUUUCCAUCAAAAUGGUGUAAGUAGAAGGACAAGGAGCCUGAACCAGGAAGGCAAUGAUAUGUCCGCAAGGUCAGAUGGUAGCAUAAGUGUUGCAUCAGAGCUGGAUGUAGAAGUGACAAGUACAGACAGAUCUGCAGAAGUUAACAUUUUGAGAUCUCAGCAUGGCACUCAAACACCAUCAGGAAGGAAUCCUCAAAAAGUGGUAAACAAUUUUCCUUCCUCCAGUUGGCUCUUUCAUCCAUAUUCAUAGAUGAUGUUAUUAAUGUAAAAACACAGUAUUAUUCUUCCUAAUUUUCACCUUCCUAUUAUCUAAAAAAAUAUUCACCUUUGUAACAGCAAAAACAUAUAUUUUAGGAAGAGCUACAAUAUUUGGUCAUAGUUCUUCUGUAAAAUGAAAUCUGUCCAACUCUAGUUGGGUUCAAGCUGGAAAUUUGAAAUCGUACAAACAUACCAUAACUCUUGUCUAAUUAUGACCUUUUUUAAACUUAAAUUCAGAAAACCUCUUAUGAUGCAAACAAGGACCUGCCAUCUAUGGAUCCUGCAGCAACUAUUACUGAGCGGCCUAGUCCAGUCUCUGUAUUGGACUCUUCGUUUGAUCAGGAGGAAUUUUUCCAUACCAGCAAGACCACAAAUUCAUCUAAUGUUGGUAAGAUCUGCUGCUUCAUACUACUUGGUUCAUCGAUCAUAUAAAGUGGAGUAUUAGUACUUUUCAAAAGAAAAUGGGAACUCGAAUAGGUUUUCCGGAGUGUCCUUUGAAUUACUUCCUGCUUUGAUGUCUUAGUUUUCCAGAGUUGGUUGGUUAUGGAACUUCUUGUGUAAAGGUUUACAUGACUCAUGUCUGCUGAUGUUUACAUGACUCGAUAAUUAGGUUUCUUCAUAUUAAUUUUCGACAAGUAGUAACGCUGGCAGUGGGUUGAGGUUCACGUGCACAUAGUAAGCAAAUAGAGAUCUCCUGCUACCAAUAGUGUUCCUCUCAUAUAGAAUGGUGUGUGCAUUAUGCACCAUAGUUAUAGGGUUUUGAAAUUUCCUCAAGGAGGGAAAGAACAUAACUGAGAGUUGACAAAAAUCCUACUGUGGUGUACUAUGAUUGCACCUACCACUACCAAUCAAAAGAUCUCCUGUAUGCAUAGUUCCUUUACAAUUUAUCCACAUGGCUUGCUAGAUAAAGUGAUAUGUCGUAAUGCAAGUAUGCAACCCCCAAGUAAUGUGAACAGUAGAGUUUCAAUGAUAGAGUGCUUGUCGUUUUUUCUGCAGUAGCAUUAGGCACAUUCUUAAUUUCAUUAAUGUUGCAAUAUCAGUAUGGAGUGCUAAAGAAUCUGCCUUCAGACCAGCGAUUAGUUGCUGCACGACAUGUUGUUUUGACAACAGAACAAGGAGAAUUACAAGGGCCGCAGCAUUUAAUGUACUAUAUUUGACACGGAUGCGGAAUGAAUAUCAGUUCAAGAAUGCUUUAGUUUUUGUCUUUAUGCAUCUUUAGAUGCAUCUGCUGGGAUAUUAUCAUUCCAUUAUCUGAAAAAGAGAAGUAGAAAACGCAUGAACCUAACAUGGUGGACUGGUUACUGAAAUUGUUACCAGUGGUAUUGAUAUUGUGUUCCAAAGACUGAAACCUAAUUUCUUGAAAUUUGCAGAUGAUGAGCAUCACCCAUCACCAUCAGAAGAGUCCUGCAAGCCUUCUGAAAAGAAGUCCACAGAGCUCCCCACACAACCCAAGAACAGCAAGCUCGCAAACAUAGCCAGCCUCCUUAAGAAGCUCCAGCAAUUGAGCGUAAACAAGGAUGAGGCACCUCCUGUCGAUCACAUUGCCUUCUUGUGCGAGACGCCAAGCCCAGACCAUCGCUACGUAUCCGAGAUUCUACUGGCGUCAGGGCUUCUGAUGAAAGACCUUGGUUCAGGGCUGUCACAAAUGCAGCUCCACACAUCAGGCUACCCCAUCAACCCUGACCUGUUCUUUGUUCUUGAGCAACGAAAAUCUGGGUGGACAUCCAAACCUGAGGGGAUCCAUCAGAGCAGGAGCACCACAAAGCCAGAUGAUCCCAAGAGAGCGCACCGGAAGCUAAUGUUCGAGGCGGUGAACGAGCUUCUCCUUGACAAGUUUGAGAAGGAAACCACACUCAUCACUGGAGUAGCAGCAAGGGAUCCAGUGAUGAGCAGCGGGCAGCAGCUGGUGAAGAUGAUAUGCUCCGGCAUCGAAUGCCUGAAGACGGAGAGAUCGCGCAUGUGCCAAGAAGACAGCAGCGUGAUCCCUGACGCAGAGAUCCUCAACAGGUUGGAAGGGUGGUCGCCGAGCUUCAUCAGGAGGGAGCUUCCAGGCAUGGUGCUGGAGAUCGAGAGGUCGAUAUUCAAGGAGCUCGUCGACGAGGUGGUGCGCGGCGAGUCCGCCGACGGUCAGCCGGCGAAGGCCGGAAGGCGCAGAAGGAGGCUCUUCGCUUGACAGUCACUAGUGAUGGCUGCUGACUUGCAUUGGAGUGCGAAGCGUGAAGCGAGUGUAACUGUGAUACUGUACCUAGUAGUAGCAUGUCCAUUGUUGAGGUUUGAUUUGUCCAGAGAGAGAGAGAGAGAGAGAGGAGGAAGAGCAAUGCAGAAACCUGAAGUAGGAAUGCAAUGUUUGAGGCACUUGCCUAGUUGUUGUUCUGCGAUAAAUAUUAUAAGUGAAAUUAUAACCUGAGACACUGGCAGUUUUCUUGCAUUGUGUUACUGUACUUUUGUUUUUGACAUUUUACAUCUUAUCGCUGGAGUAGCAGCAAUGGAUCCAAGUGAUGAGCAGCAAGGGAUCCAGUUUUCUGACGGCUGCUUGCGAGAGUUUCCUUCCGUGAUUACAAGGAAAAAUAACCUAUGUAAGUUUCCAAAAAACCUAAAUGAUACUAAGAAGAACUGGGUUAAAGGAGAUUUGGUGAGAGAAAGCACCGAGAGGUACUUCUUAAUUAUCUAGAAUGACUCGGUAGUUUCUUAUUGUAGUAUGUAGUUUAUCUCCACAGCAAUUGAUCAUUGUAAUGUAAUGAUAACAUCGCAUUCCUCCUUGUUUUCCCUCCCUUCUGAUGUGCAUUGUAGCCUAAUUCUUGACCGUCAGAAGAAGAUCGGCGCCUGCAACCUAAGGAAUGUGUGGGUCGCUGCUGGAGUGGCUUUUGCGGAAUAAUUAACUAUUUGCCACUCUUACAAGUGGUGAUAAAUUAUUUAUCACUGAACCCACAUAUCAUAGAAACAUAAGGGCCCACAUGUUAUAGAGUUGAAUGUCCCGGGUUUUGUUGGUAGUACAUGUUUGGGAGCACAGCUGGUGCCAAAUAUGCAAGGAUGGAAGGCGACGGCUUGGUUCAAAAGAUAAAAUGUGCUUGCGUGGUUGAAGCAUCGGGAAAAGAGACACGGGUUCCACGUAAAAACUUUUCAUCCUGUUGCAUCGAAUGUUUGGACAGAUGCAUUGAGUAUUAAAUAUAGACAAAAAAAAACUAAUUACACAGAUUGCGUAUAAAAUGUGAGACAAAUCUUUUAAGCCUAAUUGCUGUAUGAUUUGACAAUGUGGUGCUACAAUAAAUAUUUACUAAUGACGAAUUAAUUAUGCAUAAUAAAUUCAUCUGUAAUUUGUUUUGUUAUUAUCUAUGUUUAAUACUUUAAACAUGUGUCCGUAUAUCCUAUGUGACACGCCAAAACUUUUCAGCCGUAUAACUAAACAGGACCUUAGUGUAUCUAUCAGUUGACCCAAGUUAAGUAAUACGCCAUGGAAUAGGAAGGUGUACCCCUAGCUUGUUUUAUAAUGCACCAUAUAUGUAUCCACAAAGCCCAGUUAUUAUAAUAAUAAUAUUAUUAUGUACUCAAAAUUCAAGUACCUUCUUUCCAUGCUUAAAUCGUUGUGGACUGGGAUCCCCUUUAUUAUGCAGCUUCAGUCGAUCAUCACUAGAACAAUGCUAUGUUUAAUUUGAUGCUGGUGCGUAUGCAUUCGAACCCUUAAUUUUAGUUUCACUCUUUCUUUGAGCACUUUCUUUUGAACGUUUAGUGAGUGAAGUUGAUUAUCAGAAUGGGUUUAUAUAUUUCCGCUGAAGUAUGUGCGCAUCUGUGCGACACUACACACUUCCUAUGACCUCCAAUACCAUUACUCCAGAAAAUUAAUACUAACAUUGGCAUAAAGUGUCUGACAUUAAAAUAUUCAGGCAUAAAGUGUCUGACAUUAAAAUAUUCAGGAGGAGUAUUGAUUCUAUCUAUAUUAUACAGUCUAUAAUCUGGUGUUCUGCACAAACAAUUUUAAAAAAAUACACAACAGAGCUAAUUACACGGUACAAUUGGUGAAUAGAAAGGAAGAAAUGAGCAAGCGAAGGUGCUAGGGCUAGGGGAUAAAACGUAGUAGAAGGAACCUAGCCGAGCAUAAUAUUAACAGACAUCAUUGCAAAGAAUGAGAAAAUUAGUUCCGAACCACAGGGUAAAAAUCACAGGCCAAAUUACUCCCUCGUUAAGUAGGAUCAAAAUAACCCAGAACAAACCAGAGGGGUCAUUUGUCCAGUUAGGAGAGUUCAAGGUUGAAAAUUCAAGAGGGAAAAUCAGAUCAAGCCAAUAUAACUCUCUAGUAUUCAAUUGGAACAAAAUUAUCAUGUUUCGACAGACAUAUCAUUUCACUUCUCAUGGUACCGAUAAGCAGAAAUAUUAUAAAGGCGAAAAGAAAAUUGAUGACAAUCAGGCCAAUCAAUAUUUGAUUGGGGCCAAAAUAUCUAUCUGAGAACCCAGCUUCUCCUCAGCAGCUUUCUCAGCCUUGACACGAAGCCUUGUUAAUUGCUUCCUCCUCUCGUAUGCAACCUUAGCCUUCUCCUUUCUCUUCUCCUCCAAUUCCUGCAGGUGCAAUAGACAAGGUGAUCAGUGUGCUUUCAUGUAUAAGAACUAAAGGGAAACAUAAAAAGCCCAACCAGAAUUGAGAUGAUAACAGCCUAGAAAUGCAGGACAUGGUUGAAAUAAUAGCACAAACUCAGAAACAAAGCAGAUAAAUGUAUCAAACAGAAUAUUUUGUUGUGAGAAAUGGCACAGUUGGUCAGAAGUAGCUGGUUGUAAACAUCAUUCUGAAAAAUCAGUGAGAAUACAUGUAUUUUUUCUUCAUUUUACCAAUCAUGCCAAAUAUGCUAUUUAACUCAACAUGGAUUAGAAAAAAAAACAUGCUGUGUAACAAUUGAAAAGGGGAUGCAAACAAGAAAAAAAAAGAUGCAUUUGCAAAUUCACAGCCAUAGCAUAAGUAAUCACAGGUUUAUGGGAAUUCCAUCAUCUUUGUGCAAAUAAAUAAAUAGGAUACUUAAGAUUUCGUGCAUCAUCAGAGUCAUCAACUAAUCUCAGACAGUUGAGGCUAUGGUGUAAAACAAAAGCUAGAGAGGUGUACAGCAUAAAAGUAGCUCAGCAAAAACCUACAUAUUCAAAUCCAGAGCAUGUUGAGUUUGAGUUCAACGCGUUACCACCGUACAGUUGUACAAUCAAAUAGCUACAAGGGCCCAAUAUUCACAAAAGUGAUCACAUAAUACCAUAACAUUCCAAGAUGAACUAUUCUUAACAGUCCAACACAUGUAUUCAGCAUUGCAUUCAUCCUAACACGUUCAGUUCAAUAGUACUCCUACAUGUAUUUAGCAUAUCCAUUCAUCCGAAAAGUAAAAGGGGGCACAUGUGUACAUCAUAUGCAUUCAACCGGAUUGUGAUUCGGUGACAUUCCCCCGUGACAUUGAGUCACUGACAUGUGGGUCCAAACACAUGUGGGUCCCACAUAUCAGUGACUCAAUGUCACCGAGAAUGUCACGGGGGAAUGUCACUGAAUCUGCGUCCCAUUCAACCUAAAACUAAAAGCAUUACAGCAGCAUAUGCAUUCAAGCUAAAACGAAAAGCAGCGUGAAUAUGAAUACAGAAAGGAAAUGUACCCUGAUGGUGUCGUGGUAGUUCCAGCCGACCUCCUUGGAGAGCUGGCCGAGGAGGCAGUACUUGUGGCCGGGCUGGAGGCGAAGAACCCUAGAAGCCAUGGAUUAGUUCAUGGAGGAAAAGAAAAGGAGAGGAGAGGAGAGGAAAGGGUUCGAAGCGAGCGUACUUGAGGGCGUCGGGGACGACCAUGCGCUUGGUGCGGUCGUAGGGAGGGGGGACGCCGUCGAAGGCCUUGAGGUUGGCGAGGGCGGCCUCGCCGCGGGGGGUCUUGUGGGGGAUCAUGCCGCGGACGGUGCGCCAGAAGAUGCGGGAGGGGGCGCGGAAGUGGAUGGGGCCAUGGGAGGGCUUGGUGUUCAUCCGCUUGCGGAGGAACCGGAGGUACUUCAUCUUCUGCCGGACGAGCCCGCCGGAGAUGCACAUCUCCU